CCCGCUGAACUUAAGCAUAUCAAUAAGGCGAGGAACAGAAACCAACAGGGAUUCCCCUAGUAGUGGCGAAUGAAGCGGGAAAAGCUCAAGUUUGAAAUCUGGUGGGUUCAUCCCUUCAGAGUUGUAGGCUGAAGAGGCAUUGACCGACGUUGUCUGGGUCCAAUUUCCUUGGAACAGGAGGUCAUGGAGGGUGAGAACCCCGUCUGUGGCUCAGAGCCUUCGUCCUUGUGUCAUGUCCUCGAAGAGUCGGGUUGUUUGGGAAUGCAGCUCAUAAUGGGUGGUAAAUUCCAUCUAAGGCUAAAUAUUGGCGAGAGACCGAUAGCAAACAAGUAGAGUGAUCGAAAGAUGAAAAGUACUUUGAAAAGAGAGUGAAACAGUACGUGAAAUUGUUGAAAGGGAAGCGUUUGGUAUCAGCCCAUGGCAUCCAUUGAUCAUUCAGGCUUCUGUCUGAUGCACUUGAUGGACGACGGGUCAGCGUCGGCUUUGCCCUCCGGAGAAAGGUCUUGGGGAUGUGGCUCCCUUCGGGUAGCGUGUAUAUACCCUUGAUGUCAUGCGGAGUGGUGGGGCUGAGGUCCGCGGUUUAUCCUAGGACGCUGGCGUAAUGGUUCCAAGCGACCCGUCUUGAAACACGG
rnacentral:rRNA from 1 species